rnacentral:piRNA from 1 species
CUUUUGGUUGAUUUCGUGUC